rnacentral:rRNA from 1 species
AUUGAAUUUAAUUCAGGAUUAAAUGUUAUAUUGUAUAAUUUAAUUUAUACUUUAUAUUUUAAUCUAAAAUUAAUAGGGAUAAGCUUAUUAAUUGAUUUAUAAUCUUAAUUUUGUUUAAAUUUUGUAGGAUUAAAAAUUUCCAUCAUUUAUUUUGUUAUAAUUAAUUUUAAUUUAUAAUUAAUUUUAAUUAGGUUUAAAUUUUUAUUAAAAAUAAUUAUUUAAUAAAAUAAAUAAUUGUUAUAAUGAUAAAAUUAGUAAAUAAUAUAAUUAAUAUAUAGUAAUUCGGCAAAAUUAUCCCUCACCUGUUUAACAAAAACAUGUUCUAAUGUUUAAUUUUAUUAGAUUUGACCUGCUCAAUGAUAUUAAUUAAAUAGCCGCAGUAUUUUGACUGUGCGAAGGUAGCAUAAUCAAUUGUCUUUUAAUUGAAGGCUUGUAUGAAAGGUUGGAUGAGGGGAUAACUUUCUUUAUAUUAAAUAUUGAAUUUAAUUUUUAAGUUAAAAAGCUUAAAUUUUUAAAAGGGACGAGAAGACCCUAUAGAAUUUUAUAUUAUUUAUAAAUUAAUUAUUUUGGUUAGUUUUAAAUAAUUUUAUAAAUAAUAUUUUGUUGGGGUGACAGUGAGAUUUAUUAAACUCUUAUAAUUUAUAUUAUUGUUGAUUAACAUAUUUAUGAUCCUGAUUGUGGAUAAUUAGAU